UACAGAGGGUGCAAGCGUUAAUCGGAAUUACUGGGCGUAAAGCGUGCGUAGACGGUAGCGUAAGUCGGGUGUGAAAGCCCCGAGCUCAACUUGGGAAUUGCAGUGGAUACUGGCGAGCUGGAGUGCGGUAGAGGAAGGUGGAAUUCCCGGUGUAGCGGUGAAAUGCGUAGAGAUCGGGAGGAACACCAGUGGCGAAGGCGGCCUUCUGGACCAGCACUGACACUCAAGCACGAAAGCGUGGGGAGCAAACAGG
rnacentral:rRNA from 1 species